UAUGUCAGGCACAUUAGAAAGCCCAUCUCUGAUCUCUGCAAGUCCAAGUCCAUUACUCAUUUGAUCGAGUUGUUUUGAUGCUGCUGGAGACUUGGUCGUUGCCAUUCAAACCAGGUUUGUUUCUCCCCCUUUGUCUUCACUCUCAUCUCAUCUCAUCUCUUUCGAAAUCCCAUGGAGCCUAUCUCUGUGAGAUGCUUCGAUGGUUAUCAAGAUAUAUAUCGCGUUUAUGGGGGUGGUUUUUUGAACGGGCGAGAGAAAGAAAAUAGAGAGAGUGAGAGAGUGACCGAAGAGGAGGAAAAAAACGAGUGAUGUUCGUAUUCAUUUGGGUUGGGGUAUUUUCUUCUGAUUUGGGCAGAUUUGGGAUCGAUCUGAGGGUUGGUUUUGGGUUUUCCCUGGGACCGAUUCUUGGCUUAGCUUAGUGGGUCUUGGACCGAUCGAUCUGAGCCUUGAAGCCCCACCUUCAACUCCUCCAUCGCCGGCGACAACAGGGAGUUCUUUUGCUGUUGUGCUUUUGGUUUCUUGUUUGGUUUGGUUGUUUUUAACUUACUGUUUUUCGUAUUUUUUUCUAAUCUAAUCUGUGGUUUGUGGAUUUUGCGAGGAAUUUUCUUUACAGGCACAACCUCUCUGGCCUUUGUUAUUUGCAACAUGGAUAAGGUGUUCUCAUCCAAGUCCAGUGACUUAGCCAUGGCUUUCAGGAGCAGCCCGUUCAUCUCUGCCAACUUUGCUGUGUAUUCAUAUUGAAAAAAUGGGUUCUGUUGAUGAAUCUGAACCGAAAGCAACCGCAAGAGCUGAGAGCAGAUCGAAGCCUUCUGAGUUCUUCUUCUCUAGUCACUGAUGGAGAUGAGAGCAGGCCGAGAUCAACGACUGGAACUUCCAGGGAAGGAAAGGCAGCUCCGCCACCAAUAUUGGCUCCAUCUUCACCUUUGUAGAUAUAUCUCUCCGGCAGCUCAUGGUUACUGAGAAGCAGUUCGUGGACUGGCUUAAACAGUGAUUCUGCCAUGGCCGCCUGAGAAGAGCUUCUGCUGUUGAAACCUGAAAGUUUUUAGCUGUUAGAUAUUAUAAUUGAUUUUUCAUUUUUGGGAUCUCUUUGAAACUUGGUUUGGACUGGUUUUGAAAAGCUUUCUACGUUGACCAAUCUUGAAGUUCUUAAUUUGAGUUCAAACCAGAUCAAUAAUUCCAGAAUUCUAGAAUUUAUUGGUGGAAUUCCAUCUUUAAAGUCACUAUAUCUUGGAAAUAAUAGAUUGGGAAGCUUGGUUCAUUUGACGAACUUAAAAAAUGUGAGUCACUUGGAAGAAUUGUACUUGGAUGGUUCUGCCCUACCUAAUGAUUUUCUUUCAAAUAUUGGUGCCCUGACAUCACUUCAAGUUUUGUCAUUGACUUGGUCAGGACUUAUUGGGACCCUGCCCUCUCAUCAA